GCAGUGAGUUCGACACACCAUGCCGACUGUCAGCGUGAAGCGUGAUCUGCUCUUCCAAGCCCUGGGCCGCACCUACACUGACGAAGAAUUUGAUGAACUAUGUUUUGAAUUUGGUCUGGAGCUUGAUGAAAUUAAAGACCUAGAGCUUUUAUGUCCAAGGUGCAGUUUGUCCACUGAUCACCAGCAUCGCUGUGUUUGGCCCAUAAAGAAGGCUGCCUCCUAUCAGGAAAAAACUGGAGCAAUACAAUGCACCGUGGAAGGAGAGAGUGGAACUAAUUGAAAAAGUCAUAACUAUACAAACCAGAAAAUCACUGGAACUGAAGAAAAAGACAUCUGAGAAGGAAAUAAUAAGUAAAGAACAAGGUAAUGUAAAGGCAGCAGGAGCCUCUGAUGUUGUUCUUUACAAAAUUGACGUCCCUGCCAAUAGAUAUGAUCUCCUGUGUCUGGAAGGAUUGGUUCGAGGACUUCAGGUCUUCAAAGAAAGGAUAAAGGCUCCAGUGUAUAAACGGGUAAUGCCUGAUGGAAAAAUCCAGAAAUUGAUUAUCACAGAAGAGACAGCUAAGAUACGUCCUUUUGCGGUAGCAGCAGUUCUCCGUAAUAUAAAGUUUACUAAAGAUCGAUAUGACAGCUUCAUUGAACUUCAGGAGAAAUUACAUCAGAAUAUUUGCAGGAAAAGAGCACUGGUUGCCAUUGGUACCCAUGAUUUGGACACUUUGUCGGGCCCAUUUACUUAUACUGCAAAGCGUCCUUCAGAUAUCAAAUUCAAGCCUCUAAAUAAGACCAAGGAGUAUACAGCCUGUGAACUGAUGAACAUAUACAAGACUGACAAUCACCUGAAACAUUAUUUACAUAUCAUUGAAAACAAACCCCUGUAUCCAGUUAUCUAUGAUAGCAAUGGUGUCGUCCUUUCAAUGCCUCCCAUCAUCAAUGGGGAUCAUUCCAGAAUAACAGUAAAUACUAGAAAUAUUUUUAUUGAAUGCACGGGAACUGACUUUACUAAGGCAAAAAUAGUUCUUGAUAUUAUUGUCACCAUGUUCAGUGAAUAUUGUGAGAAUCAAUUUACGGUCGAAGCUGCUGAAGUGGUUUUUCCUAAUGGAAAAUCACAUACCUUUCCAGAAUUAGCUUACCGAAAGGAGAUGGUGAGAGCUGACCUAAUUAACAAAAAAGUUGGAAUCAGAGAAACUCCAGAAAAUCUUGCCAAACUUCUGACCAGGAUGUAUUUAAAAUCAGAAGUCAUAGGUGAUGGGAAUCAGAUUGAGAUUGAAAUCCCUCCAACCAGAGCUGACAUUAUCCAUGCAUGUGAUAUUGUAGAAGAUGCAGCUAUUGCUUAUGGAUAUAACAACAUUCAGAUGACUCUCCCGAAAACUUACACCAUAGCUAAUCAAUUUCCUCUUAAUAAGCUCACUGAACUUCUCCGACAUGACAUGGCAGCCGCUGGCUUCACUGAAGCACUUACCUUUGCCCUGUGCUCCCAAGAAGAUAUUGCUGAUAAACUAGGUGUGGAUAUCUCUGCAACAAAGGCAGUCCACAUAAGUAAUCCUAAAACAGCUGAAUUUCAGGUGGCACGCACUACCCUUCUUCCUGGCCUCCUGAAGACCAUAGCAGCAAAUCGUAAGAUGCCCCUUCCACUGAAACUGUUUGAAAUCUCUGACAUUGUAAUAAAAGAUUCUAAUACAGAUGUAGGUGCAAAAAACUACAGACAUCUCUGUGCUGUUUAUUACAACAAGAAUCCUGGGUUUGAGAUCAUUCAUGGGCUGCUGGACAGAAUUAUGCAGUUGCUCGAUGUGCCUCCUGGUGAAGACAAGGGGGGAUAUGUGAUCAAAGCAUCAGAAGGGCCUGCUUUCUUCCCCGGGCGAUGUGCAGAGAUCUUUGCCAGGGGUCAAAGCGUCGGGAAGCUUGGGGUCCUUCAUCCUGACGUUAUCACCAAAUUUGAGCUGACCAUGCCCUGCUCCUCCCUAGAAAUCAAUGUUGGACCCUUUUUGUGAAGAUUGGUCUCUGUGGUGUGAUUCUCUUCCCAGGUGUCCCUUUCUCCUCCCCUAGUGUCCUUAAGUCCUCCUCCACAGGGAACAUCUAUUUGGGCUUUGAUGUUUAAUAAAGUAGAAAGCACUGUCUGGCUGUGUGGGUAGAGACCAUCCUUUCCCUGCAUAUUAGGCCAGCUUGUGCCAUAUACCAGUGUGGUGUCUGUGUGUGAAGCUGCAUUGUUGGGUAAAAGCCCCGUGGAGUGCUGGAGAAAUGCACUAGCAGAGUGCAGGAUCUGUUCUGAAAGGCAGACGUGCUCCUCAGACAUCAGAACAUCACAUUGGAACGGAUUACUCCUGCAUAACAAGAUCCCAUUUCUUUCCUUAUUGAUAAAACAAGAUAAUCGAUGAGAAUUCAUGUUGCAUGAGUUCGAGAUAACUGAGGGGUUUAGCUUUGAUUUUCUACAUUUGACAUGUAUUCAUCAUUGAGAAACACUAAAAUAACAAUAUUUUUAGAAAACGUUUAAGAAUCAAUUAUGGUCCAACAAUUAUAGCUUCUGAGGUCAGUUUAAAGUGAAAGAAAAAUCUGUAAUACAAGGAUUCAAAAUAUGUGAGGGUGCAUAGGUAUUUUUUACUCUAUCUGUGAUACUCUAAGAUAGAGUACAUGCAACAAAGAUCUGUUCUGCUGUAAGAGUUAAAAUGGACAAGUAUUGAUAUCAAUGCAGUAUGAACAUUAGGAAACAAUGAGAAGCUUAUUUUUGCCAUAGGCCAUACAUGUUACUGUAAUCAGUCAGUUAUAAAAUCAUGGUUUUAAAUACUUAAUUGAGCUACUAGUUUCUCUAUUGUCCCAGGGAGAUAUUAGACCUCUCUUUUUCUGAAGCUAAGCUUCAGCCAAUCCUCCUUGUUUUAUAUCCUAAUUUCCUUUCUUACUUCAAUCUAGAAUUCUCCAGUAGGUACCAUCUCUGGAAAAAAGCUGGGUCUCAUGUUUGAGACAAGUUCCCAGGUACUAUUGAAGUAAUAAGAAAUAUGAUAAAAUAUAAUACUUUAAAGUCCCAGUAGAAAUAGCUAACAAAGGCUGGGUGCGCUGUGGCUCAUGCCUGUAAUCCUAGCACUUUGGGAGGCUGAGGUGGGCAGAUCACUUGAGGCCAAUAGUUCGAGAUCAGCCUGACCAACAUGGUGAAAUGCCAUCUCCACUAAAAAUAUAAAAAUUAGCCAGGCAUGGUGGUGUGGGCCUGCAGUCCCAGCUACCUGGGAGGCUGAGUCAGGAAAAUCUCUUGAACCAGGAGGUGGACGUUGCAGUGAUCCCAGAUUGUGCCACUGCCCUCCAGCCUGGGUGACAGAGUGAGAUUCUGUCUACAAAAAAAAAAAAGAAGAAGUAGCUAACAAAGAUAGUGAAAUAAGAAUUAUGUUUAUGGAUCUUUUGCUGAGUCUACUACUAGGAGAAAACCUGACCAUAUUACAACCUUGAAUUGGGGCAGCAGUGUCUAACUCUGUAAGAUUUGUGAACACACACACUUCCAGCUGACCCUUCACAGCUCUGUUAUAAGCAGAUCCUUACAACAUUUUAAAAAUGAAAUAUGCCCUCUAAAAAUAAUGCAUGCCAAAAGGACUUGUAUCCAGCAUGCAUAAAGAUUUCUUAAAACUUAAUAAUAAAACUUAAUAGUAAAAAUAAAACAACUGUUUUUUAAAAAUGUGCAAGAGUUGAGCAAACAUUUCCCAAAAGAUGACAUAUGAAUGAGCACUUGAAAAGAUCCUCAACAUCGUUAGUCAUCAGGGAAAUGCAACUAAAAUUCACAAUGACAAACUGCAUACCCAUUAAAAUGGCUAAAAUUUAAGAUUCAUAAAUCAAAUACUGCUGAGACUGGAGCAAGUGGAACUUUCAUGCACUGCUGGUGAGUCACAAUGUAAAAUGUUACAUUGUGACUUUAGAAAACAGCUUGGCAGUCUCUUGAAACAUACACCUACCAUCUAGCCAUUCUAUUCCUAGGUUUACCCAUAUGGCCAAAGAUUUUUAUGCAAGUGUUCACAGUGUUACUUAUAGUAGUUACAAAUUGCAGUAUAUCCAUACUAUGAAAUACUUCUCAGCAAUAAGAAGGAAUGAACUACUGAUCCUCAAAACAACAUGAAUGAAUUUCAAAACAGUAUGCUAAGUGAAAGCAAGAGACACAAAAGACUCUAUUUAAUUCUAUUUACCUGAGAGUCUAAAAAAGUCAAAAGCAGGUGGUCGGCAGGACCUCAGGAAAGAGAACUGACUGCAGUGGGUUAAGAGAAAACUUUUUGGGGUGAUGGAAAUUUUAUCUUAAUUGAGGUGGUAGGUGUACUUCAGGUGUAGGUUAUACCUUUGUAAAGCUGGGAGAAAAAGAAUGUAAUGUAACAUGUAGUAUUUUACUGAUUUUAACUACAUAACACCAGUUGAUAAAUGCCUAGAGAAAUAGCCUGAACUGUAGAAUUGGCAGUUGUGCUCAAGGUGGCUCACUGGUCCACAGCUAUUAAUGAUAUAUUCUCCCUUAGUUUCAGGUUCGCUCUAGUUAAAAUCAUGGCUUAUGGAUCAUCAUAUGAUAGCCCUUGUUGAAGUAGGUGGAACCAUUUGUUCUGUCAGCAGCUACCCACCUGGAUAUUUUUGGGGGUGGCCAAAAUUACUUGUAAUGAAAAACCCACUAAUGCCUAAUUGUAUAUCCCAGCAUGAAAGGGGAAAGAUCAACUCCAUGCAUCAUGUAGAUGUUUCUGCCCUCGGAAGCAGGAAAUGGUAGGCAGAAAAACAGUGUCGGCUGCAUUGGAAGAAGCGAAUCCAGCUCAUGAGUCGAGGCUCUGCAGCCAGAUCAUCUUACACUUGUCCCUGGUGAAGCAUUUGAACUGGAGCCAGGGCAGUCUGUGAGUACUGCCAAAAGCCUUUAUUACAGAAGAUGCACACCUUCUUAGUAAAAACUGGGAGCUCUAGUAUUAAAGUGAAAAUUAAAUGGAAUUGAUUUUUGUUCUAGCUUAGAAAAAACUUAAAUUCUACCACUACAGCCUCACAGUCCUGCAGUGCUCUUCUAGUUUUGUUUGUUUUUUGUUUUUUUAGACGGAGUCUCGCUCUGUCACCCAGGCUGGAGUGCAAUGGCACAAUCUUGGCUCACUGCAACCUCCACCUCCUGGGUUCAAGCAAUUCUCCUGCCUCAGCUUCCCGAGUAGCUGGGACUACAGGUGUGUGCCACCAUGCCUGGAUAAUUUUUGUAUUUUUAGUAGAGACGGGGUUUCACCACGUUAGCUAGGCUGGUCUCGAACUUCUGACCUCAGGCGAUCUGUCCACCUCUGCCUCCCAAAGUGCUGGGAUUACAGGCGCCCAGCCUGCUCUUCUGUUUUUAAAUUAUUUUUGAAUUGAUCUUUUUUCACAUUUUAAUUUUUUUGGUUUAAUAACGGUAUGAGAGUAGGAAUUCUCCCUGAUGUGUAGGGUGAAAACAGUUGAGUUUCAGAGAGAUCAAUAACUUACUCAGAAGUCACAUAGCCAAUAAAUGAGUUUGAGACACUAUAAAAGAGUGACUUGGAGUCCACAGACCACUCACUGAUUUGCAUUAUUUACUUAUUUAUGCGAAAGUAAAUAAUGGGACUUUCUACACUUUUUAAAAAUAUAAAAAUAAUGGGAGACAAAAAGUUAAAAAUUGUUAAGUCCAAUACUUUAAAAAAACUCUGCAAACUGUGGCCUUACUGAGUUAAUCUACCUUUCUUCCUCCUGAUUCCCUGAAGUAACUAACUGCUGUUAACAAUUUAGCCUGUAUUGUUCCUUAGUUUGGACAUUUUCCUUGAUUUGUACAGUCAGCCACACACACCUGCUCACAUUUUUGGGGGUCAUGCUCUACUUACUGGUUUGCAACAAGUUUUGUUUUUUAUUUUACAUAUAUCUCAUGACAUUUCACUUAAUAUGCCCCAUUUUUUCAGGUCAGUGCCUAUAGACCUAUCUCAUUCUUUUAAAUGAGGUAAUAUUCUAUUGUACAGAUGUCCGUAAUUGUUCAAUUAUUCCCUUGUUGGUGGACAUUCAGUUGUUUCCAACUGUUUGCAAUUAUAAACACUGCUCCAAUGAACCCCCUAUCCUGCUAAAUAGCACUGGCUUAGGACCCCAAGGAAAACCAGUCCUAAUGGGUGCAAGACUGUAUAAAUAUCCACAUUUGACAGACACAUUCAGAGAUGCAUAGAGUUCAUUAGAUAUUUCUUUGAUGUGACGUUUGUACUUGAACUAUAUAUUAUUCCAGUACCUUACAUCUUAGAUGUAGAAGUCGCUAGGUCAAAGGAUGUGUUUUGAAUUUAAAACAUGUUGAAUGACUGUUCUCACAUUUUAAACAGGAGUAAUCUACUACAAACCAGCCAGCCUAACCACUGCCCCUGCUCUCAGCAAUGAUGGGCUCAUCAGCUUGGUAAGAGAGAACAUUACUCACAAUCUUGCUUCUCAAUCUUAAUCUAUUUGUGCUUGGUGUUUUAUAUAACAUCACUAACCCUAAUACUUGAGUAUUUACUUUGGCCCUUCUGUCCAUUUUAUCCAAAAGCAAACAGAUAGCCUUCAAGGGACACCAUUGCCUUAAGCAGAAUAUGCCUCCUAAGCAUUGAAAGCCUUUGACCCAUCUGAUAUCCAAGUUCUGGCUUAUUAUGUUAUUAGGGCCUUGAAUAACUUUAUGUAUAUUAUUAUGGACUGAAUGUAUCCCCACAAAUUCAUGUUGACCCUCUGACCUCCAGUGUGAUGGUCUUUGGAGAUGAGGCCUUUGGCAGGUGAUUAGAGCUAGAUGAGGUCAUGAGAGGGAGGCCCUCAUGAAAGGCUCAGUGGCCUGAUAAGAAGAAACACCAGAGAGCUUGCUCUGUUUCUCUGCCUACCUGGCGCACACAUACAGAAGAGGUGAUAUGACCACACAGCAACAUGGUGGCCACCAGCAAGCUAGGAGAGGGAUCAGAAUGAAACCUAUUUUGCUGGCACCUUGAUCUUGAAAUUCUAGCCUCCAGAACUGUGAGAAAUAAAAUUCUUUUAUUGAAGCCA